UACAGAAGUGGCAAGCGUUGUUCGGAAUUACUGGGCGUAAAGGGCGCGUAGGCGGCCUUCUAAGUCAGACGUGAAAUCCCCCGGCUUAACCUGGGAACUGCGUCUGAUACUGGGAGGCUUGAGUAUGGGAGAGGGAUGUAGAAUUCCAGGUGUAGCGGUGAAAUGCGUAGAUAUCUGGAGGAAUACCGGUGGCGAAGGCGGCAUCCUGGACCAUAACUGACGCUGAGGCGCGAAAGCUAGGGGAGCAAACGGG
rnacentral:rRNA from 1 species